rnacentral:rRNA from 1 species
CCUACGGGAGGCAGCAGUGGGGAAUAUUGCACAAUGGGCGAAAGCCCGAUGCAGCGACGCCGCGUGAGGGAUGACGGCCUUCGGGUUGUAAACCUCUUUCAGCAGGGAAGAAGCGAAAGUGACGGUACCUGCAGAAGAAGCGCCGGCUAACUACGUGCCAGCAGCCGCGGUAAUACGUAGGGCGCGAGCGUUGUCCGGAAUUAUUGGGCGUAAAGAGCUCGUAGGCGGCUUGUCACGUCGGGUGUGAAAGCCCGGGGCUUAACCCCGGGUCUGCAUUCGAUACGGGCUAGCUAGAGUGUGGUAGGGGAGAUCGGAAUUCCUGGUGUAGCGGUGAAAUGCGCAGAUAUCAGGAGGAACACCGGUGGCGAAGGCGGAUCUCUGGGCCAUUACUGACGCUGAGGAGCGAAAGCGUGGGGAGCGAACAGGAUUAGAUACCCUGGUAGUCCACGCCGUAAACGGUGGGAACUAGGUGUUGGCGACAUUCCACGUCGUCGGUGCCGCAGCUAACGCAUUAAGUUCCCCGCCUGGGGAGUACGGCCGCAAGGCUAAAACUCAAAGGAAUUGACGG